GACCCGGUAGCUCAGCUGGCAGAGCAGCGGCCUUUUAAGCCGUAGGUCGUGGGUUCGAGCCCCACCCGGGUCA
rnacentral:tRNA from 1 species